UUGUGGUUGAACAGUUUUAAAUCAUGUAGAUUUAGCAUAAAAUGCAACAACUUAAAAUUUACUUGAAUAAUUUAUGUUAAAACAACCUAAUUCUAAUGGGUUAAGAUUGCAAAUCAAUAACACUCCAAAGCAGUAGGUGGCAGUAAUGAGCACAUUCCCCUCUCUUGAAGGCCACGGUCAAAGGUGAGUGAGUCCCCGACUCUGGCUGGCAGAAGGAGUAGACAUUUUGAAAAGAAAUUUCAAGUGUGGAAGAAGCUAACUGCUGAAUUUAAGAGGAUUACAACCAUCAGUUUGCUGUCAAAGUUCUUCUCCCAGCUGGAUGCUCAUUCUUCAAACUUGAUGAGGGUGUUUGGCAAGAAAGGCGGCGUUCAAGGAAGAAAGAUAAGGAGCAUCAUGAUACCCAUCACCAAGACUGACGCCAUUGAUGUCAAAAGAGAGUGAAUCAUCAAAGCCCUGUGUGUGUACCUGAAUGAAGAGCCCGAGAACCUUGUGAAAGAAUACAUGAACACAGAUUGUGGGAGCAGUGAAGCUGCAGUGAUGGAGACGACAUUUGGAAUAUUUGUCAUUCGCAAGGAAGGUGCAGAGCCAGGUGAUGGACCGGAAGAUGUAGGUAUAGUUCUGGAUGGGCUCGGAAACGUGCCACUUGCUGUGGUCAUGUUGUUUGCGCUUGUAUAUGCGCUUAACCUCAGCUACCCGCCAGAGCUCAGAUACACCUUUGAAGCUUUGCAGAAGAUCAUCGUGGAGCUUGAUGGAAACAUACUCUCAAAAAAAACCCAAACACUGAAAACUCUACUUGCGUGUUAGUCACCCUCAAUAGAGUAAACUACAGGUUUGGAGUUACUCUAAUGGGAAGGCAUUUGAAGCCAUUUGAGUAGUUACUGAAAUGGAAGCUGUGUUUGUGUUUUAAUACAUCCUGUUGCUAUUUUGGGUUUACAAAAUAGAAUGUUUUGAAAUGUUUCUUUAUGCAAAGGUAAGGUUUUAAAACAAAUUGUUAUUUUCUAAAGAAAACUAUUUUGAUAUGGAUGCAUUAUGCUGUAUUUUGGUUGUUCUCAAAUAUUGGUCUUUGCACUCAGUUGACAGGACCACUUUCUGCGUAUAACUUUGUAAAGGGCUUUGCUGAAAGCUCUAAAUAUAGACACCUAAUGACAGGGGGCUCCAAUUUCCUAACUCAGGAGUUACAACUUUUGUUUGUCUAUCUGUUGUAGUUUUUUUACAGACAUGAUGUUGGACACUGUUUCAGGCUGUAUUGUUUGUUGUAUUUUCACAACGUAGUCAUUUUUAAAGUAAAGUGAUUUCAACAAAUCCAAUUUAGUUCAUGUUUUUCUUUUCCAAACUUGACACCAGCUGGGGGUAUAUAGGCUGACAUGUACAUUUUAAAUAGCUGAAUAUGUAUACGUUAAAAAUGAUUUAUUUUGUGAAUAAUUACUUAUGUUCAUUUUCAUAUGAUAAAGUUAAUCUCUUACCUAACUUUGUUUUGUGGGCUCAGCACAAUAAAUUCAUGUACUGUACUAUUUUGAAAAGUAGUUGUAACUACCCUAUUAAAUUAUGUACCUAAUAAUCCUA